AUGAACGCUAGCGACAGGCUUAACACAUGCAAGUCGAGGGGCAGCACUGGUAGCAAUACCGGGUGGCGACCGGCGCACGGGUGAGUAACGCGUAUGCAACUUACCUAUCAGAGGGGGAUAACCCGGCGAAAGUCGGACUAAUACCGCAUGAAGCAGGGGCCCCGCAUGGGGAUAUUUGCUAAAGAUUCAUCGCUGAUAGAUAGGCAUGCGUUCCAUUAGGCAGUUGGCGGGGUAACGGCCCACCAAACCGACGAUGGAUAGGGGUUCUGAGAGGAAGGUCCCCCACAUUGGUACUGAGACACGGACCAAACUCCUACGGGAGGCAGCAGUGAGGAAUAUUGGUCAAUGGGCGUAAGCCUGAACCAGCCAAGUCGCGUGAGGGAUGAAGGUUCUAUGGAUCGUAAACCUCUUUUAUAAGGGAAUAAAGUGCGGGACGUGUCCCGUUUUGUAUGUACCUUAUGAAUAAGGAUCGGCUAACUCCGUGCCAGCAGCCGCGGUAAUACGGAGGAUCCGAGCGUUAUCCGGAUUUAUUGGGUUUAAAGGGUGCGUAGGCGGCCUUUUAAGUCAGCGGUGAAAGUCUGUGGCUCAACCAUAGAAUUGCCGUUGAAACUGGGGGGCUUGAGUAUGUUUGAGGCAGGCGGAAUGCGUGGUGUAGCGGUGAAAUGCUUAGAUAUCACGCAGAACCCCGAUUGCGAAGGCAGCCUGCCAAGCCAUGACUGACGCUGAUGCACGAAAGCGUGGGGAUCAAACAGGAUUAGAUACCCUGGUAGUCCACGCAGUAAACGAUGAUCACUAGCUGUUUGCGAUACAGUGUAAGCGGCACAGCGAAAGCGUUAAGUGAUCCACCUGGGGAGUACGCCGGCAACGGUGAAACUCAAAGGAAUUGACGGGGACCCGCACAAGCGGUGGAGCAUGUGGUUUAAUUCGAAGCAACGCGAAGAACCUUACCAGGUCUUGACAUCCGAUGCAUAGCGCAGAGAUGCGUGAAGUCCUUCGGGACAUCGAGACAGGUGGUGCAUGGUUGUCGUCAGCUCGUGCCGUGAGGUGUCGGCUUAAGUGCCAUAACGAGCGCAACCCUUGCCACUAGUUACUAACAGGUGAUGCUGAGGACUCUGGUGGGACUGCCAGCGUAAGCUGCGAGGAAGGCGGGGAUGACGUCAAAUCAGCACGGCCCUUACAUCCGGGGCGACACACGUGUUACAAUGGCGUGGACAAAGGGAAGCCACCUGGCGACAGGGAGCGAAUCCCCAAACCACGUCUCAGUUCGGAUCGGAGUCUGCAACCCGACUCCGUGAAGCUGGAUUCGCUAGUAAUCGCGCAUCAGCCAUGGCGCGGUGAAUACGUUCCCGGGCCUUGUACACACCGCCCGUCACACCAUGGGAGUGGGUUGCAAAAGAAGUAGGUAGCUUAACCUUCGGGAGGGCGCUUACCACUUUGUGAUUCAUGACUGGGGUG
rnacentral:rRNA from 1 species